rnacentral:lncRNA from 1 species
CCCGCCCCUAGCCCCUAGCCCCGCCCCCGUCGCCGCCCCGAGGCCGUGGCGGGCGGUUCAGGCCGGCCGGAACCUCUCCUCCGGGGCCCGCCCGCCAUGACGAUCACCUACAGCUGUGUCGCUAAUGGCCGAGCGGUCCUAGCGGAGCUGGCCCUGACCGGCGGCUCCUAUCAGGUGGCAUUAAACAAGAUUGAAAUUACAGAAGGAGGAGCAGGAUUUUGAAGGAGGAAGUCAGAGGGAAUGCAGGGGAGGAGAGUAUAGUUUGAAACGGGUUGUAGUUUGUUGCCUGUUGGAAGUGGCCAAUCUAGUUGGGUAUUUUUUCCUCCACCGGCCAAUCUAGUUGGGUAUUUCUUCCUCCGCCUUAUUCCCAAAAGAUUGAGGUCAAAAAAAUGUCCAACAAGUAGCGCUCAGAGAGUCAUGGCUAACAGUUGAAGCUAGUAGAAGAAGGUAGAAAAGAAAAGUAUGAAAGUGAGGAGAGAAGAGGACCAAAAGGCAGAACACUGCAGGAGCAGGGUAGAGAAAUGGGGCACCAAAUGAGAGCUGUGGGUCCGAAAAGCCAGAGAAGAAAGUUAAAGGAAUGGUUUAUGCCCCCAAAGAAGUUGAACAAGACUUAAAAAGUGCUCAUUGGAUCCCCAAUUAGAAAAUGAUUGAUGGUUUUAGGAUUAGCAGUUUGGAAAAAGCAGUAGAGGCAAAAGCCCCAUUGCUUGAGGCCAACUGAAUGGGAGGUGAGGGAAUAGGAAGAGUGGAGUUAGACCUUCUCACAAGAUUUUAGAAGGGAAGUGAGAUAGAGUAAAAGCUGAAGAAGUAUGGUCCAGGAAGGGGCCUCACUUUUUAAAACAGGAAAGACUUUCAACGUAUGUGGGCUAAUGGAAAGGAGAAAAGGUUUACAAUAAAAGAGAUGAGGUU